GCAUCGGUGGUUCAGUGGUAGAAUGCUCGCCUGCCACGCGGGCAGCCCGGGUUCAAUUCCCGGCGAUGAA
rnacentral:tRNA from 1 species